rnacentral:tRNA from 1 species
UCCGCUGUAGUUCAACGGACAGAAUGCGGCCCUCCGAAGGCCGAGACCCAGGUUCGAUUCCUGGCGGUGGGACCA